rnacentral:ncRNA from 2 species
AAACGAUACGGCGCCGAUUUGAGCCUCAGCUUGCGGGCGCCUUACAAAUGCAGCUAAAGCGGGAGCGCCCGGCGCCCG